CUCACAUCUUGUGGCAAGUCUGCCAACAAGUUGUCUUCGCAUUGCUUUUGUCCCAAAUUGUCAACAAGUUUGGAACAAGCUGUUAACAACUUAUAACAACCUUGUUGAUAUUAUCAGACUUGUUGCAAGGUUGUUCCAACAAGUCCGAUACAAUCAUGAUAUAACAAUAUCUGACUCGUCCCCAGUCGUCUUUCCUUUUCAGUUUUCCACGCGCUCGCAUUUGCGUGUGUCUCGCAAUAUGUCUCGCAAUAUCUCAAAUCUCACUCGCUCUUGGUAUUGCUUUGACUUUUACAUUUGUUUUAAAUUUU